UUUUCCGAGGAGCGUUGCGACGGACCUCUGCGUCCGCCAGGCUCGGAAAGCUUCACCAAGCAGCCGUGCGGCGCGCGUAUCGCGACCGUCGCACCGGCCCCGCUUCCUGAACGGCGCUCACGUCAC
rnacentral:ncRNA from 1 species